UCUUGACUACUGGGUAAGCCAAGAAGCAGCAGUGACCUGAGGGUCAGUUUUGAUGUCUUUGAAACCCUGGAGGAUGGCCGAACCAUUCCAGGAGGGAGUUCUUAAAGAACUUUGAUUGUUGGACCUUUUACCAUUAACCUAAGGUUCCAGCAGCAGCCAGCCAGAUACUUCCAGCAAAAUGACAAGCAAGCAUGAAGAGCCUUCCACCCAUUCUUUGACCUCAGCACCUGAUGGGCACUCUGCCUCUGACUAUGGAAUUUCCACUCAGCUAUUAAAGACUAUUAGAUGUUGAAA